rnacentral:rRNA from 1 species
UACGGAGGGGGCUAGCGUUGUUCGGAAUUACUGGGCGUAAAGCGCGCGUAGGCGGACCUGCAAGUCGGGGGUGAAAGCCCGAGGCUCAACCUCGGAACUGCCUUCGAUACUGCGGGUCUCGAGUCCGGGAGAGGUGAGUGGAAUUCCUAGUGUAGAGGUGAAAUUCGUAGAUAUUAGGAAGAACACCAGUGGCGAAGGCGGCUCACUGGCCCGGUACUGACGCUGAAGCGCGAAAGCCAGGGGAGCGAACGGG